CUAUAAGCUCAACUUUAAUGUUAACUUUCUAGUAUUAAUUUACUAAUUAACUUUAAUUUGAUAACUGAGACUGACGCUGAUUAAAUGAUCUUUUAACUGUGCGUUAGGUUUCUGGUUCAUCUGUUUGUAUAUCUUGUGAAACUUUGUUUUUCUUGUUAUCUGUAUUCACAUUUACAUGGCAGACGAUACGAAAUAUGAUACUUUUCUAACCAUCUAUCAAUACAUCAAUUAACUGGUUGUUCAACUUAAUUGCUAUCUAAGGUCUGCUGCUUAACAAUGGUAAAUGUGAUCUCAAGUUUACCACUCAAUUAACUGACAUUGUUCUAGAUCUUCACUUGGAUUGAUUUAAAUUAACUACAACUUGAAUCACAUUUUACUUGUGUUGGCCACAAAGACUUCUUGUAAUGUAAUACAUUCAAUGGUAUUACAGUAUACAUUUUGUGUUAGUGAUUUACAAAUUAGUCAGAUUAUGUUGUUUGAUUGGAAAACAAAACGAAACCGAACAGAAGAUCUCGUCCUUUUGGGUUUGGUUAUUGCAAUUUUUGAAGGAAAAGACAAUGAUGAACCAUUUCAUGGAUGAUGAUGAUGAUGACAAAGCAAAUGAUCAAAUUAAAUAAGCAUUAGCAGCAAGAAAAUGGUUAAACUAAAGUUAACCCUGGAAACCCUGAAUAAACACAACAUGGAAAAACAAGACAAAAGCUAGAGUAAUGGUCAAGACAAUGUUGGUCAUACAGUGAAAGUACAAUAAGAGAUUAAAUGAAUGGUUCGUUGGUUGAAUAAGUCGAAACAUCAACAUGGAAAGCCAAAGGAAAAUGUUGUGAUCGCCAAAUAUUGUUGAUGGUAAUGAUUCUUUUUAUGAUGAUCACUAUCAUCAUAAUCAUCAUUAUGAAAAACCCUUGUGCCAAAAAAAAGACUGGACAAACGAGUAAAUAUACAUCCAUGGAAGACAAAUUGUUGAUUCAGUUGAUCAGUUAAUUUUAUUUGGACUUGCAUCUUGCCAGUUUACUUGUUGGACUUGUUUACCAAGAUAUAAGGUAUAAGAAGAUGAUUGCUCAUCUCAUUUUGUCGAUCAUCUUCCAUUUCCACUGGAUAAGGACUUGAUAGUGAUAAAUUUACUUUUCAUGGAGACAACAGUUUGAACAACCAAGAGGGAUCUACAGCUCUGGGAGUAGAUGAACAUGAAAAAUAAUGAUGAUAACGAUGAGGAUGGUGCUGAUGAUGGUUAUAAUCCAUUGAAAAUUGAAGACAAGGAAAAGGAAAGAUCGCUAAUGAUGAAUACCUUCAAUCAAUCCCGAGUUUUUGAUGUAAACUCAUUCAGGAAAAAGGAAACUCAGAGUUGAUAAAUUUCAUCAAAAAUAUAAUAUGGUUAAUAUAUUUUCAAAGAUUAACGAGGAUCAAGGUUGUUACCAUUAAGAAAUCAAUCUUACCAAAAGACGAGUUGCAGGAUGGAAAGUUGCUGAACAAUUCCCAGUGAAACAGGAGAAGCAAAGUUUCCUAAGGAGCAACAAGAGUGGAAAGGGUUGAUCAUACAACAAUUAACCUUAAUUAUUAUCGAGUUGGUGAAAUAGACAAGAGGAGCUUCAAAUGGUUCAUCUUUUGCAUGUUUUCGUGUUGCCAUAAAACCCAAUCAAUCCGUGUACCAUUUUAUCAAUCAAUGAGCCGUUUGAUGUAUGGACAGACUGAUGUGUGACAACAGAGAAUGAGUAUUACAAAAGGAUUUAAUCAGGGUUACUCUUAAUUGCAACUUAAACUAGUAAACCUUGCUUUAUGAGACUCGAGAGUUCAAUUGGAUCGGGUUAGCUAACGAAAAGUUAAUCAACUUUACUUUGUUCAGGUUUUAUUAUUAUCAUCAGCAUUACAUGGAGGAUGAAAGCUUACAUUGAAAUGAGAUUUGACAAUAUUGAAAAGGAUUACAGAUAAAAUUAUACAUGCAAUGGAAAUGGUAUAUUCACUGAUUUUCAUUUGAAAAACAGACCAACUGAACUGUCUACUCGUACAGAAAUUUGAUUUAAUAUCACUUAAUCGAGAUUCAUGGAGUGUUACAGUCAAAAUAUUACUAUUGUCACAACAAUCAUGAACAGCAACAAGGAAAGCAACAAUAGAUACAAAAUAAGGAAACCAUAAUGCAAUUUAAUCAAGGCGUAAAGUGAUUUGAUUUUGACCCACGAGAAAAAAAGACGAAAAUGAAUUGGUUUAUUCUAUAGAAAUUGUCUCUAAAAUUUUGAUUAUAAUCAUCAAGAGCAAACAAAGUGAACAAGAAGGAAAAAAUUCAAUGAUGAAAGAACCAAGUCAAUUGAAUUACAUGGUAAUGAGGCGAUGAAUAACUAACAGACAAUGUUAAUGUUAACAAUAUUACAUUUUCAUAUUGUUACCAACCAUCGAAUCAAAAUUUACUUUGCCUAAAUUUGAGUCAAUUACCGUUGAUAAUGGAUGAAAUGAUUAUUGACUUGAUUUUAACAACUGACAGCUGGUUACAUUUUAAUUUGAUUUCCUAAUAAUCAAAUCAUCAUCAUUUGUAAUAAGUUUAUUUAACCAUGAUGAUUUAGUCUCCACAUUAUCGCAUUAUCCAGAAAGACUAAUCAAUCUGAUGCCAACAAUCUAACACUUUAUAUAUUGCCUUUGCUUGGUUGAUCACCCUCCUCACUCCCUAGGACUUUUUAGGACUGCAUCAUCAUCAACAUCAACAUGAUCUAAAAACAAAAUCCCAAACUGAAGAGCAAAAAAUGGAAACAAUUUGAUUGAUUGAUAAAGAAUUGACCGUAAAAAGCUAUUUUACAAUUGAAGCCAAUUGUGGCUGAAACAACCUUAGAAACCCAAUGAACAGGAUUGAUGCUUCAAUUCAUCCCAAUGUAAACAACAAUCAGUAAACAGCAAUUAGACAAUAUACAAAGCAAAGUAAAAAAAUGCAGUAAAUUCAUUGUACAAUUGAAAUAAUAACCUCCAUUCAUUGAAAUCACCUCAACAGACACACGCACUGAUAAACAGACGCAAGCACACAUAAAAAAGAAAGCAAUAUUCAUCAAAUUAAUGGCUCAAUUUUUCAACUUUAGCCUUCUAAUAAUUUAAUUCAAGGGAAUAUAAUUAAUUUUUUGUUAACUUAUUUACAUUACCUGUUAUGAUCAGAAACACGCGACUAUAACAGUUAAUCUCGCUUUACUUACACUAUGUUUUUCAAUCAUUGUUGUGCUUUUUUAAAUUUUCAUCAUUUGUGUAUUCAUUCAAUCAGCUAAUGUUUAGCUGAUUUUGACUUUAGAUUUAAGUUUAUCUUUUUUUUGCUGCUUGUGUUUAUUUAUUAUGUAAACUGUUGCCUUAAGCGUUUCCAUUUAUUGAUUGUUAUCAAGUUAAUCAGUAGAAAAUAUUGAUGAUGUAUUUUAAUCUCAAUGGUUCAGUGUUUAUUGGACAACGAAUUGAAGGAUUAAUUGGAUUGUUUCGCGAACGUGUCUCGGAUUGAUGAUGGUGGUGAUGAAUAUGAUGGAUGAUCAUUUUGUCUGGUUUACAUUUAAAUUUUCAUUCAUCAACCUUACUUUCUUAUCCAUUAACAAUUAAUCCAUUCAAGUUAAUUCCUUUUUUCUUUCUCUUGCCAUUUCUUAGGGAUAAAAUCAACUGUUUACCAGCGGCUUCCGAUUGAGGUUAAUGUUGACCUGUUUUGUUAAUCCGGAUUUUACCCAUUGUCAUUGCCACGAGCCUUUUGAUUGUUAAAUCAAAUUAGAUUGUCAUUCAAGUGGUUUUAUAACUCUCCAAAUCCUGUAUAAUCGGUAUCUGGCUCAGUAAACAAAAUGCGCACAUUAUCCAUUACAUGAGUUAAGCCUGAUAUUUUUGGUGAUCAUCGAUGAAGGCUUUCAUUUCAAUUUAAACAUCAAGACAAUCAAUUAUUUCAAAAAUGAUCAAUCAUCAAUCAGAUAUAAGGAGACAACAAUUAAUAACAAUAAUCAAUA